GGUGAUCCUCCCACCUCAACCUCAGGAGUAGCUGGGACUACAGGCGGACAUCACCAUGCCUGGGCGCACACACACUGCAUCUGCUGACUUGUACAUCUCUAUUCUGACUGUUGGGAUCAGGUACCCAAGGCCAGGAGUACCUCCUAUAAGCCUCCUAUCAGCUGGAUUUCAUGGAGAGGGCUGUGUGAAGACAAGUGAUGCUGCCACAAGCCAACAAAUGUCUGGAGCUACUAGGAGCUGGGAAAACAGUGUCUCCUCUACAGACUUCGGAGGGUGCAGAGCCUGAUGAUACCUUGAUUUUCGACUUCCAUCAUCCAGAACUGUGAGUAAACACAUUUCUUUUGUUCUCAGCCACUUAGUUCUUGAUACUUGGUUGUGGCAACUCUAGGCAACUAAUACACUACUUC
rnacentral:lncRNA from 1 species